GGCUGUCAAUAGACAUAGAUGGUCUUCAGCUGAUCCUUCAGUUCGGGAGGAAUGGCACAGGUAUCUGACUCGGCUUUUCGUUUCACCAACCGACGCCAGCGUCCACCGAGGUUCUUACGGAAGCCCUUCGCGAAUCCAGGCCUAUGCGACGGCAAGGCGUGUACAAGAGUAUCCUAUAAAGAAAGAAGAUCAAAUUGCGGCGAUUCUAAUCCUGCUGAUAUCGCAAAGGAACAAUUUUUUUCAAGAAGUGAAUGCCUCAACAGCUGCAGCCUAUUCGGUUCUCGGCGAUAUGUAGACGCCCACCGACGACGCUAAAUUUAGCGUCAGGUCGGAGAAGCGUCAAGAGCUGCGCCCGUUUUACCGGUGUAUUUAUAGACUCGGUAAAUUGUGUCAUGGCUUAAGUGUGAAAUGAAGAUAGGUUCUUUAGGGAAGAUUUUUAUAUUUUGUUACUUUUAUUUAAUAAUAUCAAGAGGAAAGAGUAAAUUAUAAAAAAAACAAAUGAUGUUUCAUUCGUCGUGAUGGAAUCGACUUUUCUACGUUAUAUUACGUUAGGCUAAAGUGAUAAAAGCCACUCUGCAGCCAAUCGACGAUCGCGGCUUGAACGGCGGGAAUAAUCGAUCGUCCACGAAGUAGCGUAAAACCGCGAUGGCCGCAGAUUGUAAAUAAGGACAUUAAAAUCGGAGCGUGCAUAAGGAAGAUCCGAAGACUCAUUAUCGCGUGACUUUCUCAAGAAAAUUGACCCUUGUAGAACUUUGGCCGCAACUGCGUUCACCGCUUUCUACGCUUACGAAUCUUUUUUGGAUAUCUCCGGUCGACAUCGCAUGUCCUCGAGUCAUUGGACAGCAGGGACAAACCAGUAAAAUCUGGUAAUACUGGCUCCACCGGUUAGUCGGUUAGCCAUUUGCGACGGUUAGAUCGGCGGAUAGAUCGCAAGAAAGAGUGACGGUUGCCUAUAUCUUUGUAUAUCAUCUAUUCCUGGAUUUAUGAUUAAUGAUCAGUUAAAAAACUAUACUGA